rnacentral:misc_RNA from 1 species
UUUUCCCAUAAAGCCAUUACCUUCUUAAAAAAAAAAUUAAAACAUAAAAAAAUAAAGACAUUCCAAGUCAUACAACUGUACCGUGCUAAACAAGGAUGGGUAAAUCGCCACAUAACUCUCAACUAGAAGUUAGGAGGGGGAAAAAAAAAAGGAAAAUGGGUGAGAAAACCCCAAGUUGGCACAAAAUUGAUAUACUACCUCUGUGGAGUUCCAGAGAGAAUUGGGCCACUAACCCCACGUUUUCCUGUGGCUGGGAUGCUCUCAGGGAGCGUUUUCUCAUUUUGAUGCUGCCAGAGUUGGACAAUAUUCUUCCACCCUUUUCCACAAGCAGAGAAGAGUACGGGCAUAAUGGCUCACCCAGUGGUUCACUUCUAGAUCUAAGGAACCGGUUCUGCAUAUACUUAUUUCCUUGCAAGGGGCUUGACACCUUCUCUUUUGACUCAUCGCCUGACCAAUACCCAUUCUCUAGUACAUCCUGCAUUGCUAGAUCAUCAUACUCUUCAUCAGAUUUUGUGGACUCCUCAUCAACUGAGCCAAUCUCUUCUUGGACAUGUUUAUCACCAUCAUCACUAUA